rnacentral:lncRNA from 10 species
CUGGCAACAGGGCUCUCUCUCUUGGAUGUCUCAGCCAUGACAGAGACGGGGUGUCGCCAUUUGCCCAGGCUGGUCUCGGACUCCUGGCCUCAAGAGAUCCUCCUGUCUCAGCCUCCCAAAGCACUAGGAUUACUGGCAUGGGCCACCAUGCCUGGCCGAUGCUGGUUUCUUCUCCUCGCCUCCCCUCAGGUGGUGAGGACUCCAUCAGCACCUUGGGCCUGAUCCUUGGC